UCACCUUCCAGUGUAAAGAAAACCUUUAAAACGAAAUUUGUAUACAUUUUGGCUAUGUGUAAGUCGUACCGCAAGAUUCCAGCUUAUUGUUACGUGAAGUUCUAUGCAAUUUGGUGUAUAGUUAUUGGUGGCAUGGACAUAAUUCAUGCAACGUAUGCCAUAUUUUACAGAUUCGAGAAAAAGAGGCAUUUUUUUAACCAAAUUUGGUUUGUUAUUAUUCAUCUAAUUUUCUCCAUGACGUAUAUUUUUGCGGGGAUUGCCAUGUUGAUGGCAAUAGUUAAGGGUUCAAAGAUGCUGUUUAAGUUCGGGAAAGUUGUAUCCUAUUUCUUCCCAAUACUUAAUAUAUACGCAAUAUUUCCAACAUUGGUGCAUUGUGUGUGUUUGCCGAAAAUAUGCGUGUUUAUUAAGGAAACUUGGAACUAAAGUUACUGGAACUACUCAUAUGUAUGCCAGGACUGAUCUGCGAUGUUUUACCAUGUUAUGAUAUCUUUUUGUAAUUAUAUCUUUUGUGUUAUUUCCAUAA